UACGUAGGGGGCAAGCGUUGUCCGGAAUUAUUGGGCGUAAAGCGCGCGCAGGCGGUCAUUUAAGUUUGGUGUUUAAUUCCAGGGCUCAACCCUGGGUCGCACUGAAAACUGGGUGACUUGAGUACAGAAGAGGAGAGUGGAAUUCCACGUGUAGCGGUGAAAUGCGUAGAUAUGGGGAGGAACACCAGUGGCGAAGGCGACUCUCUGGGCUGUAACUGACGCUGAGGCGCGAAAGCGUGGGUAGCAAACAGG
rnacentral:rRNA from 1 species